CCUACGGGAGGCAGCAGUGGGGAAUUUUGGACAAUGGGGGCAACCCUGAUCCAGCAAUGCCGCGUGUGUGAAGAAGGCCUUCGGGUUGUAAAGCACUUUUGUCCGGAAAGAAAACCUCUGCCCUAAUACGGCGGGGGGAUGACGGUACCGGAAGAAUAAGCACCGGCUAACUACGUGCCAGCAGCCGCGGUAAUACGUAGGGUGCGAGCGUUAAUCGGAAUUACUGGGCGUAAAGCGUGCGCAGGCGGUUUGACAAGACAGGCGUGAAAUCCCCGGGCUUAACCUGGGAAUGGCGCUUGUGACUGUCAGGCUAGAGUAUGUCAGAGGGGGGUAGAAUUCCACGUGUAGCAGUGAAAUGCGUAGAGAUGUGGAGGAAUACCGAUGGCGAAGGCAGCCCCCUGGGACGUCACUGACGCUCAUGCACGAAAGCGUGGGGAGCA
rnacentral:rRNA from 1 species